AGAACGAACGCUGGCGGCAUGCCUAACACAUGCAAGUCGAACGAGACCUUCGGGUCUAGUGGCGCACGGGUGCGUAACGCGUGGGAAUCUGCCCUUAGGUACGGAAUAACAGUGAGAAAUUACUGCUAAUACCGUAUGAUGUCUUCGGACCAAAGAUUUAUCGCCUAGGGAUGAGCCCGCGUUGGAUUAGCUAGUUGGUGGGGUAUAGGCCUACCAAGGCGACGAUCCAUAGCUGGUCUGAGAGGAUGAUCAGCCACACUGGGACUGAGACACGGCCCAGACUCCUACGGGAGGCAGCAGUGGGGAAUAUUGGACAAUGGGCGAAAGCCUGAUCCAGCAAUGCCGCGUGAGUGAAGAAGGCCUUCGGGUUGUAAAGCUCUUUUACCCGGGAAGAUAAUGACUGUACCGGGAGAAUAAGCCCGGCUAACUCCGUGCCAGCAGCCGC
rnacentral:rRNA from 1 species